UGAUCAGGUGACCAGCAGCCUCAGCUACCUGUUCUGGAGCCUUAGAGUCUCAACCCCACCAAAUGCCGACCAACCCCAUCCACCUGCAGGGGCCCGGAAGAAUAUUAACAUUAGGAAAGUGGAUCUUUUGUGAGGAGGCAUUCUGGGGCUGCCCUUUAAUCCUAGCAUUUGGGAGGCAGAGGCAGGUAUUUGAGUUUGAAACCAGCCUGGUCUACGGAGCUAGUUCCAGGACGACACAGAAAUCCCUGUCUCAAAACAAAAAAGAAAAUACAAGGAAGGAAGGAAGAAAACCUCAGGUCUCCCAACUUGGGGCCGGUCCCGUGCACUUCUCGGUGGAGACUCUCAGGAAGGUCCCCUUGGAAUGGUCACACCAGCAGGGUAAAGUUACCAGGGCCAGCAAAAGGGCGGCCUCUGGGUCCUUCCAAUAGGACGCAGCCAGUUCCCGGCCUGGGACGCCCGGGGAGGAGGGGGAAGGAAGUGUCGCCACCAAAUGGAAGGAGGGCAGCGGGGCCCACCUCCGGCUCCCUCCCGCGCCCGCCCUCGGCCCCACCUCCCCCGGCUUGCACAAAGCCGUCCCCAAGGCGGGGACCGCGACGGACCAGGCCCAGCGCCCCGCGGCUCACGCCGCAGCUCCCCGCCAGUUUGGAGCAAGCAGUCCAGGGCGCGGAGUAUCCGGGGUCCCUGUGCCCCACGGUUCCCCCCUUCCCAUCGGUAGCCUCGGUGAAGGCCGAUCGAGCCCCACGCCCGAGGUGGCGGCCUCCAAGCCGUGGGCCGCGCGGUCACCGGGAGCGUACGAGCCUGCGACGUCGGGGCGAAGGAGAACGGCCCAAGUGUGGGUCCCCCUUUGUACCUGGCUUCAAAAUCAGUCCCCCUAGUCCCCAAGGGGUCCUGCCCCGCACCUGCGUGAGGUGACCGAACAAUGCGUGGGCGGCGGGAGGGAGCGAGGAGCGGGCACACCCACGGGCCCCUCCAUUGCGGCCUGCCCCGCGCCUUGCCUCGCCUCGCUCUCGUCCGGGGCCCCACGCGGGAGCGCACACGCACCCCGGGCCGCCCCGGGGGGGAAGAUGGCCGUGUCUGCUGCAGUCGCAUAAAAGCCCUUUGUUGAGCGCACACAAAAGCGGCCCAGACCGCUUCUCCAGCAGGCCCUCUGGCCUAAUGGAAGGAGGUCUUCUAAACUUCCAAACCGCCCAGGAAGUCACAGGCUGGGGAGCACCACGGGGCAGGGGGGUAACUACAGGCCUCCCGCCACCGUCCACCAAAAUCUCAACCAGUGCCCAAGGGUUCGUCCGGUCGGGGCAGUGGGAGCUGAGGUCACUCGUCGGGGAGGAAGCAGAGAAAACCCACGUUUGCUAGCAAGGCCAAAAAAAAAAAAAAAAAAAGGUAUUAAACAUUCACGUUCAUGUUGGGUUUUGUCCCCUAAAUCGGGGUAGAAAUACAAUCCGAAGUGGCGGGGGUGUCUGGAUCCACCAAAUUUUUAAAAAGUAAAAAGAAAGAUUAAAAAAAAUUUACAAAAGCCAACAAUAGCAACUUAAUAAAAAAAUAAAAAAAACACAACAACACACCAGUUGCCAUCAGCCCAAAGUGGCAGCCGCAGCAGCCGCCGGCGCGUGCGAUCCACUUACUUGUCCGACUCUUGUGACAUGUUUGAUCCAAUGAACUCGCUCCCCUUUUCCUGGAGCCUCAGCCUCUGGUGAAACUGGACUUUCAAGUCUGUGCAGGUGAAGGUGUGUGAGAGCGCCCGAGAUGGCAGAACAGGAGCUACAGGUAAGUCUGCUUUCGUCCCCCCUCACCACUCUCGCUCGCCCGCUCGCCCGCUCGCUCGCGCCCUCACCUAGCCGGAAAGGUGGGAUGGGGGGGGAGGAGGGUGCCCUCACAUGGGGCCCGCGCUCGCAGGCGGCCCGGCGGCGCGGAGUCCUCCCGGAUCGUGGCAAUGGGCAGACACAGAGCGGAAAGUGGCGGACUUGGGCGGCCACAGGUAACUUUCUCGCAAGGCGCUGAAUUCUUUCACUAAAGGGUACAAGCCCGAGGGCCGAGCUGCGCGGUGAUUGGCUGCGGAGCUCUCUCAGGUGAGCUGCCAUUGGCAGAGGCGAGCUCAGGUAAGGCCCUUCUCCAAGUGCAGGUAACGCACUGCGAAGUUUCCCUGUGCGCGGCGGUGGCACGCUGGCGACUCCGCGGGGGAGAGCUUCUCCCUCCCUUUGCCUUCCUUCCCUGACUAGGGGGCUGGGGUCGAGGUGAUGGGCGAGGAGGAGCGGGGAGCACCACCUGCGCGCACCGGGCGUUGUGGGUCAAACCGAAGGACGUAUCGAGGGGCUGAACCCAGAAACCAGCCAGGCACCCGGAACCAAAUGGGCAGUGCACCACCUGCCACUUGACACCCGCUGGACGAGAGCCGUGUGACCGGCAGAAGAGUCAGGGACCAAGAGUUGCGUUUUGCUAAGAGUGGGAAAGGAAACAGCUUGCCCCGGUCUGUUGCGUAAUUGCAUUUUUAGCAUUCUUAUCCACGACGCACGCUUCUCGCGCCCCCGAUGCAUAGAAGAUGAUGGCAGGUCGUUUUCAGUUUUCGAAUAGCCAAGCAACCCUGCCUGGGCUGGACCUAUGAAGUGCGGCGAGGCUUUGGCGGAGGACGGAGAUUCGCUUGGAUAGACUCCUAAGAUGUCCCGACGCACCCCGUCCAUCCCUCCGCAGCCCGGGAUUCCUGCGCGCUGCGGAAGAACUCCUCCAUCUGUCCCGUAAAGCCUGUCGCCGGUUGACAUUUCUAGGCGAGCAUCAACAUUUACAUUGUAAUCCAAUAGAAGCAGCUACUACAAAGGCGCUUUAUUCUUGCAGUUUAAUAUGGUUGCCAGGGGAACAAAGCAGGGUGAAACUGACUUUUCUGUGGUUUCUCUUCUCCUGCUUGGGAACAGCUCGAAUUAGCCCAGGUGUAACUUAUAACCGCUGCUACCAGAGUGAAGUGUUUGUGGGAGUUCUGACAGGGAUCUAGCCCCUACAUGCGGAUUGUGGAAAUGCACGGCGGCAUGGAAAAGAUUUGCCACAUGUUAUUUUCAAGUUAGCGCUGGGGGUUGCAUACUUGAUACAACUGCUAUAGUAACCUUUGCAGGUCACCUAUUUCCUGGGAAUUAAAUUACGAGGCUGGUUUCGUCGUUCCUUAUUUCUACCCUCAGCAAAUUACUUUCCCAAUUUUAUUCUUUUUAAAACAAUAAUAAUAAUAUAAACACGCUUACAUGUACUUUGAAAAAAAUAGAAUAUUUUGACACAAUUGUAACACGGUACCUGUGCCCCCCCUUAGAGACAACCACAUUCCACUGUCGGCUGGAGGCUCUGUGAUUUCCUCCCUGUUUCCCAGCAACGCAUCCUGCUAUCGUCUUGAUGUAUCAAUAGCAAAAUGAUCUGAUCACUGACUUCCUUCAUGAGCUCUAGCUCCUCCUUUACCCGUUUACCUUCCAGUCCCAGGUCUUCAACGCAGUUCCUUCUCAGUAUAGAGAUGAAGAAGUCAUUGUGCGAGUUUCAGUGACAAGAGCACACUGGUGUUUUGUAACUGUUUUCUCAUAAGCCUUUUUUUCCCUUUUAUUUAGUUUAUCGUGAACCUAUCCUUAUAUGUUUCUGUAACGAAUCAACCAAGUGACUAUACAAUUUAUUUUCCAAACGGUCAAGCACCAAUUCCAUUUUCCACCACAAACAAUAUGCCUGCAGAACUUCUGCUGCCCCGGGCCUAUGGAGAUGAGCUACACAGGUGUCGUCCUGUGACACCAUGCUAUACCAUGUGUGCUUUCUUUAAGGGUUUAUUUUUCAUUUCCCAUGGCACAUGGCAUUUUCUCUUUUUGUCGUGGUUUAUUUUGUGUUGAAGGAGAGUCUCUCUCUAUGUAGCCCUUGCUGGCCUGGAACUAGCUGCAUAGACGAGGUUGGUUUCAAAUUUGCGUUUGUCCCCCUGCUCAGUGCCCAAGCAUUCUUCACCACACCUUGACAUUUUUUGUCAUUUUUUUCUCAAGGCAGGCUUUCUCUGUGUAGUCUUGGCUGUCCUAGAACUCACUCUGUAGACCAGGCUGGCCUCAAAAUCACAGAGAUCCACCUGCCUCUGUUGGGAUUAAAGGCGUGCAUCACCCCUAACCAGCUACACCUUGACUACUUUAAGGCUUGUUGUUGUUGUUGUUACUUUUAAAAUACAACAGUUUUUGUUACUUUUUAAAUACAAUCUGAGAUUGUCUCAUGGCUACAAUCCUUUUCCCUGCCUUUUGAGAACAUCAUUUAUUACAAGAGUUUUUCUAUUUCUCCUUGGCGUCCUCUGAGUUUGCUUCAAUGCCUCCCUCCACCACCAUGGCAGAGUCUCCCACAGGUGUCUCAUGAGAACCUCUUUAGCAAUCCCGUGGAGGUGGGGAGUGGGCUUGCUCCCUGGCGGACCUGUUGUCUUUCCCAUGGAGCUCUUAGAGUUAUGAGAAAUCUACAGUCUCUCGCACUCUGGAACAUUCACCAGGUGAGUGACGUGAUGGAAGCCAUUCUGGAGAGGGGCCUGGUGUGAGCCACCUUGCAGCCUUUUCUGGAGGGCUAGUAUUCCUGUCCUCGUGUGAAUAUGUGUUUCUCCUGCUGGCUGCCAGGGGCAGGACACAGAAUCUGAAAAUAUUUAUUGUAAGAAACUUAAAAAGUCCAAAGAAGAGAUACGUAGUGUCUGACCUCUGGGGUACAGUCCCAUGAAGAGAUAACUCCCACCCGAGGACCACAGAGCAAGGCCACCCAGGGAAAACCCAUCUGCCACCCCUUAGGUUCCUGAAGAGAUUUUUAUGGCCUUACUCUCAUCUGUGAAUGGAGACAAGUGAGAAAGAGGAAGAGGUGACAGGGGACCUAACACCUCUGGCUGCCAUUUACCCAGACCCCUGAUUUUAGCCAUUCCCUCUCCCUUGCCUGCCAGAAUCCUGUGUCUACUUGCCAGUGUCCCCUAUGGUGGCUUCAGGCAUCUCCAGGGCCAGACCGUGCAGUGUUUUUACAACAGCCGAGCCUUUCUCCCCCAACCUCUAUGAGCAUUCAUGUGUAACUUCUGUUGUCCCCGAAGCCACUCUCUACUGCACCACUCUUAGCUGGGGUUUCUGCGAUGAACCCUGUGACCAAAAUAACUUGGGAGGCAAGAGUUUAUUUCAUCUUACGUUUCCACAGCACGGAGCAUCACCAAAGGAGUGAGGGCAGGAACAGAAGAAGCCAUGAAGACGUGCCCCACAUCGCAUCGUCCUGAACUGUGCUGAAAUCUCUCUUUUGCUGAUGGCCUUUCCUUCAUAUGCUUGGUUCCUGUGAUUGUUCUUUUAUGAUGUCUUACUGUUCUUUUCUUCGGGGCUCGGGAGGUAGCAAGGAAGCGUCAUGGGCCAGUUUGUCAGCUUUAAACACGGCUGUUUCCAACAUUAUCCCAAAGCUUUUUGCGGAAACUCCACCAAAUCAGUUUGUACAAACAAAAUCACUGCCUAAGCUGAAUGUGGUCCAUCUGAAGCCUAGUGUGGUUGUGGUGAUGCAUAUCUGCCAUCCAUCCCAACAUUCAGGAGGCCAAGGUAAGAGGCUGGCCGUGAGCGCCAGGUCAGCCAGCACUGCACUGCAAGACCCCAUCUCUAAAGCUAAUAAUAAUAAUAGGAAAAAUUCAUGGUUAGUUAUUUCUUUUGCUGUUUUAUAAUCAUCAAAUUCCUUUCUUGUGACAUCUAAUGACCCAAUGUUGAUUAGAUAAUUUGGUGUUCCUCAGACAGACUAACCACUGGGUGAAUUAGAUGAAGUAAACGUUUCUUGUCCCCAUGGGACUGGAGAGAUGAUUGGCAGUUAAGAGCUCUUCCUGCUCUUUCAGAAGAACCAGGCCUGAUUUCCAGCGUUCAUAUGGAGGCUCAUGGCAAUCUGUACAGUUUCAGGGGGCUCAAAUGCCCUAUGAAGGCACAGAUCUACAUGCAAGCAAAACACCUACAUGGAGAAAAUAAUAAUAAUGACGAUAAUAGUAAUAGUAAUGGUAGAAAUUGUCAACCAUGAAACUACCUUUAUUACCCAAUUGUUUUGAUUCCUUUGAUACAUGGGUGAAAUAAAUCUGAAAGUUUCUCCCUCUCA